UACGUAGGGUGCAAGCGUUAAUCGGAAUUACUGGGCGUAAAGCGUGCGCAGGCGGUUUUGUAAGUCCUGUCGUGAAAGCCCCGGGCUCAACCUGGGAAUUGCGAUGGAGACUGCAAGGCUUGAAUCUGGCAGAGGGGGGUAGAAUUCCACGUGUAGCAGUGAAAUGCGUAGAGAUGUGGAGGAACACCGAUGGCGAAGGCAGCCCCCUGGGUCAAGAUUGACGCUCAUGCACGAAAGCGUGGGGAGCAAACAGG
rnacentral:rRNA from 1 species